GGGCAUGUAGCGCAGUUGGUAGCGCGCUCGCUUAGCAAUUGCGAGAGGUCCUCGAUUCGAAUUCGGGCUUGUCCA
rnacentral:tRNA from 1 species